CUACGGGUGGCAGCAGUGGGGAAUAUUGGACAAUGGGCGAAAGCCUGAUCCAGCCAUGCCGCGUGUGUGAAGAAGGCCUUCGGGUUGUAAAGCACUUUCAGUGGGGAAGAAAGCCUUGGGGCUAAUACCCUCGAGGAAGGACAUCACCCACAGAAGAAGCACCGGCUAACUCCGUGCCAGCAGCCGCGGUAAUACGGAGGGUGCGAGCGUUAAUCGGAAUUACUGGGCGUAAAGCGCGCGUAGGCGGUCUGAUAAGCCGGUUGUGAAAGCCCCGGGCUCAACCUGGGAACGGCAUCCGGAACUGUCAGGCUAGAGUGCAGGAGAGGAAGGUAGAAUUCCCGGUGUAGCGGUGAAUGCGUAGAGAUCGGGAGGAAUACCAGUGGCGAAGGCGGCCUUCUGGACUGACACUGACGCUGAGGUGCGAAAGCGUGGGUAGCAAACAGGAUUAGAUACCCCAGUAGUC
rnacentral:rRNA from 1 species